UUUUUCCUACGGGGCGCAGCAGUGGGGAAUAUUGGACAAUGGGGGGAACCCUGAUCCAGCGACGCCGCGUGAGUGAAGAAGUAUUUCGGUAUGUAACGCUCUAUCAGCAGGGAAGAAAGGAAUGACGGUACCUGACUAAGAAGCCCCGGCUAACUACGUGCCAGCAGCCGCGGUAAUACGUAGGGGGCAAGCGUUAUCCGGAUUUACUGGGUGUAAAGGUAGCGUAGACGGUUACGCAAGUCUGGAGUGAAAGGCGGGGGCCCAACACCCGGACUGCUUUGGCAACUGUAUAACUGGAGUGCAGG
rnacentral:rRNA from 1 species